UUGAAUGAAAUUGAGUGGGGUUGUCGCUGGCCUUUCACCGGGCAUGUGCACACCUCAUUCAACCUCUCUAUACCUCUGUGCACUUCUCAUGGGUUGGGCUGCGUCUGAAAUAUUGGCAAGGCCCCUCUCAUGUGUUUUAUACAAACUAUACAUGUUUUAGAAUGUCUAUACAAUGCGUAAAAGCAUAUAAUA
rnacentral:misc_RNA from 1 species